UGUAAAGAAGCCAAACUUUAGGCACUUAUCUGUUAAAUAAGCCUAUGCUUUUCAUAAGCCUUUACAG
rnacentral:tRNA from 1 species